AGAACGAACGCUGGCGGCAGGCUUAACACAUGCAAGUCGAACGGUUGUAGCAAUACAGCAGUGGCAGACGGGUGAGUAACACGUGGGAACCUUCCUAGGGGUACGGAACAACUCAGGGAAACUUGAGCUAAUACCGUAUACGUCCGUGAGGAGAAAGUUUUAACGCCCCUAGACGGGCCCGCGUAGGAUUAGGUAGUUGGUGAGGUAACGGCUCACCAAGCCUACGAUCCUUAGCUGAUCUGAGAGGAUGACCAGCCACACUGGGACUGAGACACGGCCCAGACUCCUACGGGAGGCAGCAGUGGGGAAUCUUGGACAAUGGGCGCAAGCCUGAUCCAGCCAUGCCGCGUGAGUGAAGAAGGCCUUCGGGUUGUAAAGCUCUUUUACCAGGGACGAUAAUGACGGUACCUGGAGAAUAAGCCCGGCAAACUUCGUGCCAGCAGCCGC
rnacentral:rRNA from 1 species